CGUCUUACCCAAGUGGUAAGGGAAAGGUCUGCAAAACCUCUAUGCAGCGGUUCGAUUCCGCUAGACGCCU
rnacentral:tRNA from 1 species